AGUGAACGCUGGCGGUAGGCCUAACACAUGCAAGUCGAACGGCAGCACAGUAAGUGCUUGCUCUUACGGGUGGCGAGAGGCGGACGUGUGAGGAAUACAUCGGAAUCUACUUUUUCGUGGGGGAUAACGUAGGGAAACUUACUCUAAUACCGCAUACGCCCUACGGGUGAAAGCAGUGGAUCUUCUGACCUUGCGCGAUUGGAUGAGCCGAUGUCGGAUUAGAUAGUUGGCGGGGUAAAUGCCCACCAAGGCGGCGAUCCGUAGCUGGACUGAGAGGAUGAUAGGCCACACUGGAACGGGAACGCGGUCAAGACUCCUAAGAGAGGCAGCAGUGGGGAAUAUUGGACAGUGGGCGCAAGCCUGAUCCAGCCAUACCGCGUGGGUGAAGAAGACCUUCGGGUUGUAAAGCCCUUUUGUUGGGAAAGAAAAGCAGCAGGUUAAUACCCAGCUGUUCUGACGGUAACCAGAGAAUAAGCACCGGCUAACUUCGUG
rnacentral:rRNA from 1 species